AUUAUUAUAAAAAUGGCUAGUCAUGAAAGAGUUAAAGAGAAACUGAUGAUAUUUGAAUUGUUUGCUUCCUCCUCUGGCCAAGUUGUGUGUGUGAGUCUACUUCACCCGUUCUUCCUUUUUUUUUUUCCUUAGAAUAAUUCACGUGAAAGGUGUUUUAAUGUAUGACUAUACUUUUUCGUAUUUAUGUUUCACAUGCUUUUCGUUUUUUUAAUGAUGUUUUAAAAUGUAUAAUUCACGAGGGGAAAUGGUCUAUUCUUUCACAAAACUAUUAUUGUGAACGUGAAGAUUUUAAGUUAUUUAAUUAGUUUAGAGUACUAACUAAAGCCUACUCAUAUAAGCCGAGUUAUAAGAUCAAGCAAAAAUAUUAGUAUUGACUUGCAUGUCAAAAUAAUAAUAUUAUUGACCUAAACGCCUUUCAAUCCUUUAGUGUGUGGUGAGCAUUAUAGUAAUUAAAACAAAUUGUUUUAAAAUGAUUUAUUUAACAAACCGAACGAUGUUGUUUACUAGUUUAUGGUAUGAGAUUUUCUUAACAUGUCAAACAAAUAUAUAUAUAUAUAUAUAUAUAUUUUAAAUAUUUAAGGUUUUUUUUUAAAGGCAUUCAAUUAAAAUUAUGAAGGAAAUAAAAGUUUACAAGGCCAAAGCCCAACCGUAAGCCUAAAUACAAAUCCAUAAAAUUUAAGAAACAGAAGUGAACCAGAAGUGAACCAGUAGUGAACCAAUAGUUAGAUAAGAACCAGAUUUAUGGUUGGGUAUUCAAACAGCCUAUACCAUCCACAGUAAAAACAUUCAAAACGUCAUUGAGAGAGAAAGCGAGAGGAGGAGAUCGCAUCUGAGAUUAGGGUUCUUUACGUCAUUGUCGUCACAGUGGUUGCUCCAGAGAACCAUAGAUGGAGUAGAGAUAAAGAGAGAUCAGGGUUGCUAUCACGGAAACUCAAAGCUCUGUUCCGAACAGUGGAGUCAAUUUGACGAAGAAGUAGAUCAUCCGAUUUGAAGGAGUUUCGAUGAAGACGGUGGUUUCGCUCAGUCCAAAUCACAUAGAUGACAGUCUGCCAAGCGAUCAGUAGCAGUUUCUUUACUACACGAGGCCCUCGAUAUUGCGUGAGGGAGUCAAGUGUCUGGGACCAAGAGCUUGAGGGAGUAAAGGCACAUCGUCUAGCAACAUCCGACCAUAUCGACUAGCUGAAAGGACACACAAAGAAAAUAUGAUCUCGAGAUUCAGGCAUGGAGGCACAAAGAAGGCAAUGAGGAUCGACUGUUAAUCCCCAAUUCAGCAAGCGAUCCCUUGUCGGGCAUCGAUUCAACACAAACAACCAUGAUAGGAACUUGUGUUUUGGGAUUCCUCCUGAAAACCAAACGAUGCUAUGCUAGGGAACAAUAGGGAAGGUCGCUCUAAGAGCAGAGCAAAUUCUACAUGUGUUAUGACAGUCCUUGCGAUGGUCGUCAAUCCACCAUUGGAGGAAGGUUCCAAUUCUCACGCCUCCAGAGGUCAGCUAAACGAGUACCCCUACGAAUGCCAAUCUGGUAAAGCCCAUCACCUUGAAGAUAAGUCAUCAUCUUACCCAACUUAAUCAAGUUGUCAGUCCAGAAUUGUGUAGUUUUACCAUUACCUAGUUUAACUCUGAUCCAAGGGUAAGCAACUUCUCUAAUCUUUAGCAACUUAUUUGAUAACCAUGAGAAACGGUUGCUUGACUUGUGGGUCCAAAAAGAACUCAUGUCACCAGAUAGAACAACCCUUCGAAACCAGGCCACCCAUACCGAACCAGAUCUAAAGAAGAGUAACCAGAUGAGCUUGACCAUGCAAGCUGUAUUCCAUGUAAGACAAAACCUGAGCACCAGAAAUUAGAUAUGCCAGCAAUGACAGAGUUUAACAUUUAGAGCCUUCCAGCGAAUGAGAGAGAUUUUGUAGACCAAGCAUUGAAGCGACUUUUAACAUUCUGUAGUAGUGGAGCACAGUCAAGAAGGGCAAGCUUCUUAGUACAGAGAGGCUGAGAGAGACCAGAUGUGCAGAAGCUAGUCUUUGGGAGACUUAUCGCGAGUCUUGAGACAUCUUUGAAAUUUUUGAGAACUUGGAGAACAUUCUUCACUGAGGAUUCCGAGCCAUCUAUGAAGAUCACUGCUUUAUCCAAACAGACAGAGAGACAGUUCAUAGCUAACACAAAUAGGUAGGGCGAAAGUGGAUCCCUUUGGCGCAGUCCCCUUAGCCCUUUGAAGUAGUCAUGAACAUGACCAUUGAAACCAACUGAGAAUGAAAGCGUACAGACACAGGCUUUAAGCCAGCACAGGUAAAAGUUCAGGUACCUCGAUCCCUCGCAAACAGCUAAAGAUAAACUCCCAUCUCACAGUAUCAAACGCCUUUGCAAUGUCCACUUUGAUAGUUAUUCUUUUAGGACCAUUCUGCUUUUGAUAGCCAUUUACUAUUUCAGCCGCUAGUAAAGUGUUCUCCACUAAAAGCCUACCUUUGAUGAAUGAUGUUUGAUUCUUUUGCACCAAGUCAGGGAGAAUGGGCUUCAGUAUUGCAACAAGCAGCUUAGAGACAACCUUGUACAAAGUGUUGAGGCAGGAAAUGGGGCAAUAAUCAGAGACAAGCGAAGCUCCUGGCUUUUUUUGGGACUAAAGCGAGGAUGGUGGCAUUGAUUGCAGAUAGAAGGAAACCCGUUUGGAAGAAUUUGAGUAUACUGGUAGUAGCAUCCUUUCCUAAUAUUCCCCAAGCAGCUUUAUAGAAAUCUGAGGUAAAACCAUCCGGCCCAAGUGCUUUGUCGUUAAAUAUCUAAAGUUAAGUUUUUCAUAUUGUCGAUCGGGAGUAACCUAUUAUCGAUCGUGAGCUUCAUCUUGUCCGUCGAAUAUCUAAAGCAGUUGUGUCUGUAAGAGUAAAGUAUUUGUACGUAUUAACUUUUCUUAUUUUUCGAGUAAAUUAAAUUUCAAGUU